AACGAACGCUGGCGGCAGGCCUAACACAUGCAAGUCGAACGCCCUAGCCAUAGGGAGUGGCAGACGGGAGAGUAACGCGUGGGAACGUGCCUUGCGGUUCGGAAUAACUCAGGGCAAGCUGAGCACAUACCGGAUACGCCCUUCGGGGGCAAGAUUUAUUGCCGAAAGAUCGGCCCGCGUCCGAUUAGCUAGUUGGUGUGGUAAUGGCGCACCAAGGCGACGAUCGGUAGCUGGUCUGAGAGGAUGAACAGCCACACUGGGACUGAGACACGGCCCAGACUCCUACGGGAGGCAGCAGUGGGGAAUAUUGGACAAUGGGCGCAAGCCUGAUCCAGCCAUGCCGCGUGAGUGAUGAAGGCCCUAGGGUUGUAAAGCUCUUUCGCCAGGGACGAUAAUGACGGUACCUGGAUAAGAAGCCCCGGCUAACUUCGUGCCAGCCGCCGCAGUAACAC
rnacentral:rRNA from 1 species